UACGAAGGGGGCUAGCGUUGUUCGGAAUUACUGGGCGUAAAGGGCGCGUAGGCGGUGUGUCAAGUCAGGCGUGAAAGCCCCGGGCUCAACCUGGGAACCGCGCUUGAGACUGGCACGCUAGAGUUCGGGAGAGGAUGGUGGAAUUCCCAGUGUAGAAGGUGAAAUUCGUAGAUAUUGGGGAAAGAACACCGAUGGCGAAGGCAGCCAUCUGGACCGGACACUGACGCUGAGGCGGCGAAA
rnacentral:rRNA from 1 species